GUGCUCGCCCUGGCAACACAGAUACUGAAAGUUGGAAUGAUACAGUGAAGAUUAGCAUGGCCCCAUGCAAGGAUCAUAUGCAAAUUCAUAAAGUGUUCUAUAUUUCA
ensembl:snRNA U6 U6 spliceosomal RNA